UCUGGGCACAGUGGCAUAUGCCUAUAGUCUCAUCUACUCAGGAGGCUCAGGCUGAAGGAUCUCUUGAGUCUGGGAGUUCUGGGCUGUAGUGUGCUAUGCCGAUCAGGUGUCUGCACAAGUUCAACAUCAAUAUGGUGACCUGGGAGCAGGGGACCACCAGGUUGCCUGAGGAGGGGUGAACCGGCCCAGGUCGGAAACAGAGCAGGUCAAAACUCCCGUGCUGAUCGGUACUGGGAUCUUGCCUGUGAAUAGCCACAGCACUCCAACCUGGGCAACAUUGCAAGACCCCUUCUCU
rnacentral:SRP_RNA from 1 species